UACGAGGGGGGCGGGCGUUGUUCGGAAUUAUUGGGCGUAAAGGGCGCGUAGGCGGUCGGAUAAGUCUUGUGUGAAAUCUUCGGGCUCAACUCGAAGUCUGCACAGGAAACUAUCUGGCUUGAGUGUGGGAGAGGUGAGUGGAAUUCCUGGUGUAGCGGUGAAAUGCGUAGAUAUCAGGAGGAACACCUGUGGCGAAAGCGGCUCACUGGACCACAACUGACGCUGAGGCGCGAAAGCUAGGGGAGCAAACAGG
rnacentral:rRNA from 1 species